rnacentral:rRNA from 1 species
AUGGGGAACUUCCGUAAGCUCGGCCGCCACGCCGCCCACCGCGUCUCGAUGCUCAGGACGAUGGUGUCGCAGCUGGUGAAGCACGAGCGGAUCGAGACCACCGUCGCCAAGGCGAAGGAGGUGCGGCGGAAGGCGGAUCAGAUGGUGCAGCUCGGCAAAGAUGGUACACUAGAUGCAGCAAGACGUGCCUCGGCAUUUGUUCGAGGGAUCGAGCUGGUGGGUAUACAAGACUAUUGCGAACCAGGAUACGAAUUGGCGAUGCUGCACCAAUGGCUUACAUCGAGUUUGUCGACCGGGAGAAUGAACUUCGAGAGGCCAAACCUGCGACUCCACCGCCUCCCCAGCGUGCCCCUCUUGAUCCAUGGACCAAGUCCCAUGCCAGCCAACAGUGGGCAGGGCCUAAAGUCAGCCAGAAGUCCAAAACAGAAGGGCUAUGAGAACCAAAAGCAUCGUUUAUCUUUAUUUUAUGUUUGUGAGAUUUUUUUUAUCUUUAGACGCGCUAAUUAG